UAGUGACCGAUAGUGAACCAGUACCGUGAGGGAAAGGUGAAAAGCACCCCGGGAGGGGAAUGAAAGAGAACCUGAAACCGUAUGUUUACAAGCAGUCGAAGACCGCUUAAUAAUAAGGUCAACGGCGUGCCUAUUGAAGAAUGAACCGGCGAGUUAUGAGGUCCAGCAAGGUUAAGCAGGAAAUGCGGAGCCGAAGCGAAAGCGAGUCUUAAGAGGGCGAAAGUUGCAUGCAGUAGACCCGAAACCGGGUGAUCUAUCCAUGUCCAGGUUGAAGCUGCCGUAAGAGGUAGUGGAGGACCGAACCCACAUCCGUUGAAAAGGGUGGGGAUGAGGUGUGGAUAGGGGAGAAAUUCCAAUCGAACCCGGAGAUAGCUGGUUCUCCCCGAAAUAGUUUUAGGACUAGCCUCAAGUUAGAUACCUGGAGGUAAAGCACUGAAUAGCCUAGCGGCCGAGAGGUUAGCGAAGCUUAUCAAACUCAGAAUGCCAGAGUAUUGAUGCUUGGGAGUCAGACAGUGUCAGAUAAAUGUCAUUGUCAAAAGGGAAACAGCCCAGAUCUACAGCUAAGGUCCCAAAGUCAGGUUAAGUGGAAAACGAUGUGAAGAUACGCAGACAACCAGGAUGUUGGCUCAGAAGCAGCCACUCAUUCAAAGAGUGCGUAAUAGCUCACUGGUCGAGCGUCUUUGCGCGGAGAAUUUAACGGGGCUAAACCUGACACCGAAGCUUAGGCAAUACAGUAAUGUAUUGGGUAGGGGAGCGUUGUAUACGCGGAGAAACAGUAGCGCAAGCGGCUGUGGAGUGUAUAGAAGUGAGAAUGCCGGAAUGAGUAGCGCGAAUGCAGUGAGAAUCUGCAUGGCCGAAAGCCUCAGGUUUCUGGAGGAAGGUUCGUCCGCUCCAAGUUAGGCGGGAGCUAAGGUGAGGCCGAAAGGCGUAGCCGAUGCACAGACGGUAGAGAUUCCGUCACCACCAAAAGAGUUAAGCACAGGGACACAUAUGAAGUCUCAGAGCCGGGUGUUGGUUCCGGUAGAGAUCGAGGGAAGUUAGUACCGAAGUCUGAGAUGGAAGAUGGCGAGAAAAGCUGUGUGUAUUUCUGAGGUGCCCGUACCGCAAACCGACACAGGUAGGUAGGAAGAAGAUUCUAAGGCCAACGGGAGAAGGGUUGUUAAGGAACUCGGCAAAUUGACCCCGUAACUUCGGGAGAAGGGGUGCUCCAGAGAUGGAGCCGCAGAGAAUCGGCCCAAGCAACUGUUUACCAAAAACACAGGUUUGUGCUAAAUCGAAAGAUGACGUAUACGAGCUGACGCCUGCCCGGUGCUGGAAGGUUAAGAGGAGAUGUGCAAGCAUUGAAUCGAAGCCCCAGUGAACGGCGGCCGUAACUAUAACGGUCCUAAGGUAGCGAAAUUCCUUGUCGGGUAAGUUCCGACCCGCACGAAAGGCGUAAUGAUUUGAGCGCUGUCUCGACAAUGCAUCCGGUGAAAUUGAAGUACCAGUGAAGAUGCUGGUUACCUGCGCCAGGACGGAAAGACCCCAUGGAGCUUUACUCCAGCUUGAUACUGGGAUUCGGUAUUGCAUGUACAGGAUAGGUGGGAGGCUAGGAAAUGGUAACGCCAGUUGCCAUGGAGCCGCUGUUGGGAUACCACCCUUGCAGUAUUGGAUUUCUAACCUGCAGCCGUGAACCGGCUGGGGGACAAUGUCAGGCGGGGAGUUUGACUGGGGCGGUCGCCUCCGAAAGGGUAUCGGAGGCGCUCAAAGGUUCCCUCAGAAUGGUUGGAAACCAUUCGAAGAGUGCAAAGGCAGAAGGGAGCUUGACUGCGACACCGACGGGUGGAGCAGGUACGAAAGUAGGACUUAGUGAUCCGGUGGUAUAAAGUGGGAUUGCCAUCGCUCAACGGAUAAAAGCUACCCUGGGGAUAACAGGCUUAUCACUCCCAAGAGUUCACAUCGACGGAGUGGUUUGGCACCUCGAUGUCGGCUCAUCGCAUCCUGGGGCUGUAGUAGGUCCCAAGGGUUGGGCUGUUCGCCCAUUAAAGCGGUACGCGAGCUGGGUUCAGAACGUCGUGAGACAGUUCGGUCCCUAU
rnacentral:rRNA from 1 species